UACGGAGGGUGCGAGCGUUGUCCGGAAUCACUGGGCGUAAAGGGCUCGUAGGCGGUUUGUCGCGUCGGGAGUGAAAUCCACUGGCUUAACUGGUGGCUUGCUUUCGAUACGGGCAGACUGGAGGUAUGCAGGGGAGAACGGAAUUCCUGGUGUAGCGGUGAAAUGCGCAGAUAUCAGGAGGAACACCGGUGGCGAAGGCGGUUCUCUGGGCAUGUCCUGACGCUGAGGAGCGAAAGCGUGGGGAGCGAACAGG
rnacentral:rRNA from 1 species